rnacentral:piRNA from 1 species
UNCCUGGCAAGUUAGGAUACAGCAGGAAC